CGGGUUAACAAUGGCCGCUGCUGGCGUCUGAGCCGUACAUGAUGAUUACUGUGUCGCUGGACCUCUGAGGGCCGC